GUCGAGAAUCAUUCACAAUGGGGGAAACCCUGAUGGUGUGACGCCGCGUGGAGGAUGAAGGUCUUCGGAUUGUAAACUCCUGUCAUGUGGGAGUAAAGCCGGGUGUUAAAUGCAUGCCGGUCUGAGAGUACCACAAGAGGAAGGGACGGCUAACUCUGUGCCAGCAGCCGCGGUAAUACAGAGGUCCCAAGCGUUGUUCGGAAUCACUGGGCGUAAAGGGUGCGUAGGCGGCGCGGAAAGUCAGGGGUGAAAUCCCGGAGCUCAACUCCGGAACUGCCUUUGAUACUCCCGCGCUUGAGAACUGGAGGGGAGACAGGAAUUCACGGUGGAGCAGUGAAAUGCGUGGAUAUCGUGAGGAACACUAGUGGCGAAGGCGGGUCUCUGGACAGUAUCUGACGCUGAGGCACGAAGGCCAGGGGAGCGAACGGGAUUAGAAACCCCGGUAGUCC
rnacentral:rRNA from 1 species